rnacentral:rRNA from 1 species
CUACGGGCGGCACCAGUGGGGAAUAUUGCACAAUGGGGGGAACCCUGAUGCAGCAACGCCGCGUGGAGGAUGACGCAUUUCGGUGUGUAAACUCCUUUUAUAUGUCAAGAAAAUGACGGUAGCAUAUGAAUAAGCACCGGCUAACUCCGUGCCAGCAGCCGCGGUAAUACGGAGGGUGCAAGCGUUACUCGGAAUCACUGGGCGUAAAGGACGCGUAGGCGGGUUGGAAAGUCAGGUGUGAAAUCCUACAGCUUAACUGUAGAACUGCACUUGAAACUUCUAAUCUAGAGUAUGGGAGGGGGAGAUGGAAUUAGUGGUGUAGGGGUAAAAUCCGUAGAUAUCACUAGGAAUACCUAAAGCGAAGGCGAUCUCCUGGAACAUUACUGACGCUAAGGCGUGAAAGCGUGGGGAGCAAACAGGAUUAGAUACCCGCGUAGUC